rnacentral:snRNA from 1 species
CAAGCUUCUCGGCCUUUUGGCUAAGAUCAAGUGCAGUAUCUGUUCUUAUCAGUUUAAUAUCUGAUACAUCCCAACAUUUUUUUCAAGGCCAGGUUGGAUGAGGCUUUGGGCAACCUGGUGUAGUGGAGGAUUUCCCUGCCCAUGGCAGGGGGUUGGAACUAGAUGAUCUUUGAGGUCCCUUCCAACCCUAACCAUU